rnacentral:rRNA from 1 species
UACAGAGGUCUCAAGCGUUGUUCGGAAUUACUGGGCGUAAAGCGCACGUAGGCGGCUUGGUAUGUCGGGUGUGAAAUCCCCGGGCUCAACCUGGGAACUGCAUCCGAAACUGCCUUGCUCGAGUAUGGGAGAGGGAAGUGGAAUUUCCGGUGUAGCGGUGAAAUGCGUAGAUAUCGGAAGGAACAUCAGUGGCGAAGGCGACUUCCUGGACCAAUACUGACGCUCAGGUGCGAAAGCGUGGGGAGCAAACAGG